ACAGAAGAUGAAAAGGUUGACUUGGAUGUGUUGAUGGAUGCAGCACUUUUACAGGAGAUGGAAAGGUAUAUAAGAAAAGAUUGCUGGAUAGCGUGAAGCCUCUCAAAGGGAAAAAAGUCAGUGUCAAUAACCUAGACACGCUAAUGGAGAACAUGGAAAUUCAGCUUGAGAAAGAGGACUAUGAAGACUUACUGACCCAUCUGCCAGCUGAUG